GAAGGGCCCUCACAGGAGUGGGAGUCAUCUGCGAGAGGAAACAAGGAGGGAGGUUAUUUAAAGGCCGCAGUUUGUCUCAGGUGCUCUUCAUCUAUUCCAGGAACUCCAGGGAUUCCCAGGAAUGUGUUGUGUGUGUUUCCAUACCAGACGAGAAGCUCCUGGUCUGGAGGGAUGGUCUGAGAGGAGGAAGGGAAGAGGCAGGUGGCGCUUUUCUAAAGGACAUCCUUGCCAGGCCUCAAAUAAAAUCCUUGCUCAGCCACAGUGGAGCAUCACUGC